rnacentral:rRNA from 1 species
UUUAGCAGCCAUAUCACCCUGCAACUAGCAAUCCACUGCUGCUAAGCAGGAGUGAGCCUGGUCAGUACAUGGGUGGGAGACCUCAUGGGAAAAUAAAAGGUUGCUGCUCAAA